rnacentral:rRNA from 1 species
UACGGGGGGGGCAAGCGUUGUUCGGAAUUACUGGGCGUAAAGGGCCAGUAGGCGGCCAACUAAGUCGGAUGUGAAAUCCCCAGGCUCAACCUGGGAACUGCAUCCGAUACUGUAUGGCUUGAAUUCGGGAGAGGGAUGUGGAAUUCCAGGUGUAGCGGUGAAAUGCGUAGAUAUCUGGAGGAACACCGGUGGCGAAGGCGGCAUCCUGGACCGAGAUCGACGCUGAGGCGCGAAAGCUAGGGGAGCAAACGGG